rnacentral:rRNA from 1 species
CUCCUACGGGAGGCAGCAGUAAGGAAUAUUGGACAAUGGGGGAAACCCUGGAUCCAGCGACGCCGCGUGUGUGAAGAAGGCCUGCGGGUUGUAAAGCACUUUUAGUGGGGACAAAAAGGCUAACGGAUUAAUACUCUGUGGUCUUGAUUUAACCCAAAGAAAAAGCAACCGGCUAACUCUGUGCCAGCAGCCGCGGUAAUAC